CACUUGUGGGGUUUCUCCUUUUUUUAUUAUUAUUAUUAUUUACCCUUUAUUAUUAUUUAUAGCAUAAAGCUAUUCUCAGCAUACUUUGAUAUAAUGACAUUAGUUUUUUUCUCUGGUUAGACUGGACGGCUGUGACAUCUUUUCUGAGGCUGACCUACGGACCCUGCCAAAAAAAAUGUUCCAUGUGAACUUGAGUCUGCAAGGUCCUCGUUUUCAGUUCCGAAUACGCCGUGUUCUGAAAAAGGACAUCUGCGAUAAGAUGGAACUUGGCAUCGCUAACUCCUGUCCUGUGAUUGAAGYAGGCUCAGAAGAGGCAGACCCAGAGGAGGAAAACUGGUGUUUUGGGAAGGUGAGGAGCGCUUUGUGCUGCAGCCGUUUCACUCGCCUGCUUUCAAGGCAGAAGAUUUUCAGRCCAAACUGCCCAGGAUAAAUCUCCRCUCUUCGCAAAAGGGCUCAACAAUCUGGAGAAAAGGGAAUUUGCUGAAUGUGGAGAACUCCUGAAAAGCUGCAUGCCUCCUGGAGAUGCCUAACUAGGAGCUAAUCUCUUUCUGUGAUCUGGUCUUCUCUCCCUUAAAAACACGUUUUUUUUAUAUGGCAGAACAGCUGUUGUUGCUUCUGUUGUGAUGAUCUGGGUGAAAAGUUUGGUAACAGAGAGGGAGGUUUUAAAAAAAGCAAAAGACAAAACAUCUCCCCAAAAUUCUUCUCCAAACCCACCCACUGAAAAAGUCCUUCUGCUCUGGCCUUCCAGGGACAGACAUAAAACUUCUAAUGCUUUUUAAUACAAUUAAAACA